rnacentral:rRNA from 1 species
AAUGAACGCUGGCGGCGCGCCUAAUACAUGCAAGUCGAGCGAGAAGACGUAGCAAUACGUUUGUAAAGCGGCGAACGGGUGAGGAAUACAUGGGUAACCUACCCUCGAGUGGGGAAUAACUAGCCGAAAGGUUAGCUAAUACCGCGUACGCUCCUUGGACUUCGGUUCAGGGAGGAAAGCGAUACCGUGGGUAUCGCGCUCUUGGUUGGGCUCAUGUCCUAUCAGCUUGUUGGUGAGGUAACGGCUCACCAAGGCUUCGACGGGUAGCUGGUCUGAGAGGACGAUCAGCCACACUGGCACUGCGACACGGGCCAGACUCCUACGGGAGGCAGCAGUAAGGAAUAUUGCGCAAUGGGCGAAAGCCUGACGCAGCGACGCCGCGUGGGGGAUGAAGGUCUUCGGAUUGUAAACCCCUUUCGGGAGGGAAGAUGGAACGAGCAAUCGUUCGGACGGUACCUCCAGAAGCAGCCACGGCUAACUUCGUGCCAGCCGCCGCCGU